rnacentral:rRNA from 1 species
GACGAACGCUGGCGGCGUGCUUAACACAUGCAAGUCGAACGGAAAGACCCUGCUUUUGUUCGUUUCUCGAUUGGCGAACGGGUGAGUAACACGUGUGUAUCCUGCCCUUGACUUUGUGAUAACUUCACGGAACUGGGGCUCAUACCGGGGAUAAGCUCCUGCUGCGUGUGGGUGAUUGGAAAGUUUCGGCUUUGGGGGAUGGACUCGCGGCUUAUCAGCUUCUUUGUGUGGUAGUGGCUUACCAGGGCUUUGACGGGUAGCCGGCCUGAGAGGGUGACCGGCGACCUUGGGACUGAGAUACGGACCAGACUCCUACGGGAGGCAGCAGUGGGGAAUAUUGCGCAAUGGGCGGACGCCUGAUGCAGAAACGCCGCGUGCGGGAUGCUGGCCUUCGGGUUGUAAACCGCUUUCGACUGUGCCGAAGAGUGAGUGACGGUAAUGGGUAAAGAAGCAACGGCUAACUACGUG